CCUACGGGUGGCAGCAGUGAGGAAUAUUUGUCAAUGGACGAGAGUCUGAACCAGCCAAGUAGCGUGCAGGAUGACUGCCCUAUGGGUUGUACACUUCUUUUAUAUGGGAAUCAACUGUUCCACGUGUGUGCUUUUGUAUGUACCCUAUGAAUAAUGAUCGGCUAACUCCGUUCCAGCAGCCGCGGUAAUACGGAGGGUGCGAGCGUUAAUCGGAAUUACUGGGCGUAAAGCGCUCGUAGGCGGUAUGUCAAGUCAAGGGUGAAAUCCCCGCGCUCAACGUUGGAACUGCCUUUGAAACUGGCAAACUGGAGUGUGGGAGAGGAGAGUGGAAUUCCAGGUGUAGGAGUGAAAUCCGUAGAUAUCUGGAGGAACAUCAGUGGCGAAGGCGACUAGCUGGCACAUAACUGACGUUGAGGAGCGAAAGCGUGGGUAGCAAACAGGAUUAGAUACCCCUGUAGUC
rnacentral:rRNA from 1 species